UGGGAAAAAUUCUGGGCUUCUUUUCAGGGUCCGAGUUUUAAUUUGUAGAAGAUGCUUUGGGUGUGGCUCCGGUCUAAGUUCCUUGGAACACGACGUCAUAAAGGGUGAGAAUCCCGUAUGUGACUGGUCGCCUUCGCCCGUGUAAAGCUCUUUCGACGAGUCGAGUUGUUUGGGAAUGCAGCUCAAAAUGGGUGGUAAAUUUCAUCUAAAGCUAAAUAUUGGCCAUAGACCGAUACCUCACCAGUACAGUGAUCAAAAGAUGAAAAGCACUUUGUAAAGAGAGUUAAACAGUACGUGAAAUUGUUGAAAGGGAAGCGCUUGCAACCAGACUUGCACGCCGUCAAUCAACCGGUGUUCUCACUGGGGCACUUUUCUGCGUUCAGGCCAGCAUCGGUUUCGGUGGUGGGAUAAAGGCCUUGGGAAUGUAGCUUCUUUCGGGGAGUGUUUAUAGCCCUCGGUGCAAUGCCGCCUACCGGGACCGAGGACCGCGCUUCGGCUAGGAUGCUGGCGUAAUGGUUGUAAGCGACCCGUCUUGAAACACGGACCAAGGAGUCUAACAUCUAUGCGAGUGUUUGGGUGUCAAACCCAUACGCGUAAUGAAAGUGAACGGAGGUGAGAACCCUUUAGGGUGCAUCAUCGACCGAUCCUGAUGUCUUCGGAUGGAUUUGAGUAAGAGCAUAGCUGUUGGGACCCGAAAGAUGGUGAACUAUGCCUGAAUAGGGUGAAGCCAGAGGAAACUCUGGUGGAGGCUCGCAGCGGUUCUGACGUGCAAAUCGAUCGUCAAAUUUGGGUAUAGGGGCGAAAGACUAAUCGAACCAUUAAUUCUAGGUGGUUAAGAGGCGGCCGGAGAGGCCGAUUUAGUCCAUGCGGGGGAGUAUUCUAUCGAAAUUGGGCAGGGGRCGUCCCGCAUAAAG
rnacentral:rRNA from 2 species